UACAGAGGUCUCGAGCGUUGUUCGGAUUCAUUGGGCGUAAAGGGUGCGUAGGUGGUCAGGUAAGUCGGAUGUGAAAUCCCGGGGCUCAACCUCGGAACUGCAUUCGAUACUGCCUGACUGGAGUACUGGAGAGGAGAUUGGAAUUUACGGUGUAGCAGUGAAAUGCGUAGAUAUCGUAAGGAAGACCAGUGGCGAAGGCGGAUCUCUGGACAGUUACUGACACUGAGAGACGAAAGCUAGGGGAGCAAAUGGG
rnacentral:rRNA from 1 species